rnacentral:lncRNA from 1 species
CGCAAAUCUAAACAGAUACUGUCCCUCCCAGGGCAGGACUCAAGAGCGGGAGCCACGACUCCAUGUGCCCAAACAUGGGGAUGGGCAGCCACCGGGCCCCUCUGUCUCGCGAAGUUUCUCAGGACCCUGGGCUUUGCCACGGUCUCAGUCCUUCUCAACGUCUCCCUCCCUUAAUGCGCCUUCUUUCUUUUUCCUGUCCCUUCAAGAAUUAGAGUGGUCCUUUAAUUCUUUUUGUUUCCUCUCUUUUCGAUUUCCUUCUUUUGUGUCCAUCCUUCCUGCUUUCCUUCUUCCUCUCCCUCUUUUUAAAAUUGCAUUACUGUCAUACCUGGUUUCCCUGCAGUUCUUGGGUGGAGUUCGAGGACCCUCCCUGGUGGAAGGCGUUUGUGUUCUACCAAAAGAGGAGCCCUUCUGACCGAGGCUUCAGAGCUCAGCGUGGCGCCGACGGGACCACCUUUCCCUUCUCACCUCUUUUCCUCUCCACCUUCCAGGAAACCACUAUCUAUCCAUCUAUCCAUCUAUCUUCUGUAUACGAGUAGAAGGAGGAGGAGGAGGAGGAAAAUCAGGAAUCCACGCAAAGUUUUCCAAGCUCCCUGAAGUGGUUGGGCACAUCAGUAGCUGAGAGACUCCUCUGACCAUGGCCAGCCUCAGGAAGUGAGUGUCAACAGCCUUGCAGAUGGGAACUCAACUCCUGGGUACCCAUGCCUGAAAAGACGUAAGUCCUGCUCCCACCGGCACCAGACCCCCUGCCCUCCCUCUACCCCAAUACUAGAACUCCAGACCUCACCCCUCCUCCCCAGAGACAUAUCAGCAGGAAGUUAAGUCAGCUGGAACACUUUGUUCCCUUGACAUUUCUGUUUUAAUUCUGCAGCUGUGUUUAAGGCUUCAUGAAUUAUCUGUCCAGCACGGUCUGUUUGUCUGCCUAGUGCCUCUUCUCCCACUUCCCUGCACCAGGUCAUGAUUACCCUAAGGCUGGUAGAGCAGAACUGGAACUAGGGUUGGUAAGAAGGAAGUGGGAUGGUAAGAAAGGGCAUUAGGGACUGUAAUAUUAGCUGUUGAUGAGCUAAGGAUGAUGAUCUGAUUGCUUGCUCAAGGAGGAGGAAUUCCUAAAUCAUUAACAGUGUGCGUUGCCGAUAGCUCUCUUUCCUCACCCUCUCAUGGUAUUUAUCUCUACAUCACAUCAUAGUGAUGAAUAGGUGUGUCUUUUCUCCUCAGUAUUCUAUAGUGCCUACUUACAUGCCUUAUUCAUGCUUAUUCAUGUUCAGGAAGCAGUUGGUAAUUGAAGGAAUGAGCCUUCUCGCCUUCCUUUUAUCUCAAGUCAGCUUAUCACUUAAAAACAAAAACAAAAACAAGCCAUAGCUUCCAAAUUCAACUUGGUCCUGCUCAGGGUGGUAUUUCUUAAUUUCUUAUAGCUGCAAUUCACAGGUCUGUAUCCUUGCUUGCCAAUGUCUGUUUUGGUAUUCAUGGUAGUUGGCUCUGAGACAUAUCAGAGCACUAUAUUGUUCUUUCCUGGUUGCUUUUUCUUCUGCUUCUCAUCAAAGUCUAGAGAGAAACUCAGUUUCUAAAGCCAUUAAGAACCUAGUAGGAAAAUGGUGAUUAGUCUCUCCAAGUUCUUCUUCCUCAGCAGACCCACGAAGAGUGUUCUCCAUUCACUGGUCAAUCAGGCUCACAUGUGUGAAACGUCAAGGUUGGCCUUAAAGGACCACCCGGGCAAAUGACUUAUCGUUAGUUACGUGAGCUGGGUAUGUUUUGUCAACCACCCCGCUUGAAACCUAAGCAUGAGAGAACGUAGCUCACAAGACAGGUAUGGCCCCAUAUGUCUCCAUAAGCCCACAUCUAGAAAAUACGUAUGCAGAUUUUUCUGUUGCCAGUUGGUCAUCCUGAGCUAUCAUUUCUAAUGUGUGACUAGUUUCAACCAAAUUUAAUAUUUUAAAACCAGUCUCAAAGCCCUAUAUUUUAAAAAGUAAAACUAUAAGUGGGCCUGGCAUGGUGGCUCACGCCUGUAAUCCCAGCACUUUGGGAGGUUGAGGAGGGCAGAUCACAAGAUCAGGAGUUCAAGACCAGCCUGAUUAAUAUUGUGAAACCCCAUCUCUACUAAAAAUACAAAAAUAAGCCGGGCGUGGUGGCACGCACCUGUAGUCCCAGUUGCUCGGGAGGCUGAGGCAGGAGAAUCACUCGAACCCGGGAGGCAGAGGUUGCAAUGAGCCGAUAUCAUGCCAUUGCACUCCAGCCUGGGCAACAGAGUGAGAUUCCAUCUCAAAAAACAAAAACAAAACAAAACAAAACAAAACAAAACUGUAUAAAGCCCACAAUUAACAUUAUACUCAACAGUGAAAAACUGAAAGCUUUCUUUUUUUUUUUUUUCUUUCUUUUUU